AUUCUCUGAAAAGGAAGAGAGAGAGAGAGAGAGAGAGGAAAUCCUGCAGACCAGAGGAGGAGAAGAGAUGAAUGCAAGAAAGUUGGGGUCUUCGAUUGGGAGCAAUCGAAAUCGAUGAAUGCGCGUCUCCGCGGAGGAGGAGGAAGCAGGAGGAGGAGGAGGAGGAGGAGGAGAAGGAGGGGAGAAGGCGAAUUGAGGGCAUCUGGGACUUGGGGUCGAAGGAUCAGGACCUCGCUGCCUUUAACUCGAGUUUGACUGCGCAGUGCAAGCUCCGUACUGGGUCUCCGCCACUUCUUCUUCAUCGUCUUCAAAUUUUGCAACUUUCUCUGCUUGGGUUUCGGAACUGGCUAUGGACUACGAGCCGUACGACAGCAGCGGGACUGAUGACGAUCUUCCUCCAUCACACCAAAAUAGAAUUCCCAGAGGAGGUCGCCUUUCUGGGAAUGGGAGAGCUGGGUUUGGAGGAUCCCUGUCUUACCAAAGAAUGUACUCUGAGACAGAUAUGGAAACUCAAAUUCACCAGCUUGAGAGGGAAGCUUACAGUGCAGUCCUGAGAGCCUUUAAAGCUCAGUCUGAUGCCAUUACUUGGGAGAAGGAAAGUUUGAUAACUGAACUUAGGAAAGAACUGAGGUUAUCCAACGAGGAACAUAGGGAGCUUUUGAGCCAGGUUAAUGCAGAUGAUGUCCUAAGGAGAAUCAGGGAGUGGAGAAAGACUGCGAAACUUCAACAAGGCAAUCUCAGUGCCGGUCAAGGCCUUCGUGAUCCAACGCCUAAUCCUUCUGUCUCAGUAUCUCGUAAGAAACAGAAGAUCACGCAGCCACUUCCAUCAGGUUCAUCUCAGCCCCUUGCUGGGCCACCUUCAUCCUAUCAUCCACAACCCAAGCCUGCACCCCAUCAGCCGUCUUCAUCAGCUGCAAAGAGAGGGCCUAUUGGAGGCACCAAGAGCCGGAAGCAUAACGUUGGUCAAGCAUUGCCUGUUUCUUCUUCCACCAAGUCAGCACCAUAUCCUGCCUCAGGUGCAAGUGGUAGGGGACAGGUUAGCAGGACGUCCUCUGGUGCCCAUCUGAGUGAACCUGCUGAAACGGCAAAAGUUGAUUCGUUGAUUGGACAGAAAGUGCGAACUCGAUGGCCUGAUGACAAUAACUUCUAUGAAGCUGUCAUAUAUGAUUACAACCCAGCUGAGGGGCUGCAUGCUCUAGUGUAUGAUAAAGGUACUCCAAAUGAGACAUGGGAAUGGGUAAAUCUUUCAGAGAUCUCCCCGGAGGACAUACAAUGGAUGCGGGAGGACCCUGGAGUCUCUCAUCGAGGGAAUCAUGCCAUGUCAGGUUCUGGGAUGAAUAGACCCAUGAACCGAGAUAAUGUUUCAGGUGGAGGAAAAGGGAGAGGGGCUGUAAAGAGUCAAUCCAAAAAGGAGCAUCGCCCAUUUCAAAAUGGGUUAGGAAAGAAAGGGCCAGACAUACGCAUACGUAACACAGGAACCCUACUAAAUGAGGUGGAGAGGGUCUUCAGCACUGGCCGUCCUGAUCCUCUUGAGAUGGAAGAAGCAAAGAAAGUAUUAAGGGUAUGACUAAGGAGUUAAGGGGAGCAUGAACGAUCACUUGUGGAUGCAAUUGCUAGACUAGCAGAUAUCUCAGAUGGUGAACAAGAUAAGCAAGGGGAUCAGUUUCUGCGUGGACGUCCAGUGGACAGGUAAGUGUGGGGUCCGACAGUUCACGAAGGCUUGUUGCUGCUUGAAGUUGGCGGCAAAAUGACUUGGAGAGAAAAUGGUGACAUUGUGGAUGGUGAAACCAGCUAGUGGCUGUUGAAGAAAGAUUGCAGGUGCAAUGCCACCAUACUCUGCUCAUACUUACAGAACAUAAAGAUAGCAUAGUCUUGUAAGAUUGGACAGUCUAGGAUAAUUAUAGUGAUGAAUUUUAACUUUGUUUAGAGCAAGAGUUGUUACUUAGAAAGCGAGAGCUUAGUUUAACUCAGUGGGUAAGUGAGCUGAGGCAGUGGUCUUGUGUUGCCUAAAUUGGUUAAACAAUGCUGUCUCGGGUUUUUUUUUAGGGCAAGAGGUUUUUUUUUUUUUUUUUGGGGGGGCGGUUACAUUAAGGUGUUUCUUCUUCUUUGUGUUUUUAGUUUUUUUAUUCGGGUAGGAUUGCCGUGAAAGUUAAAGGGUGGAAGUAGAAGAGCAUGAUGUGAUGAUGUAAAUGAACGGCCAGGGGGGGAGGAGGAUCAAAACAGUUACUUGGUUUUCACUCGGGCUUAAACGGAAUGAUGACUAUCUUGCUCUUGUCAGGGUCAACAGAUAGUCUUAAAGAA